rnacentral:lncRNA from 1 species
CUAGGUGGAGAUCACGGGCAGGGGAGAAAGAGAAUUCGGUGGGCUCAAAGGCAUGAUGAGUAGGAGUGCUGGUGUUGGUGGUGGUGGGGGUGGUGGUGGUGGAAGGAUGGGUUUGUUGCUGAUAAGGAUAGUAGUGCUUGGAAGAAGAAGAAGAGAAGUCUUCUUCAUCCAUGAAAAAGUUGAAGCAUUCUUCGUCUUCUUGGUGGUGGUGGUGAUGGUUUUGUCUAGAAGAUCUAGAGCUGCUAGAAGUUCUACUGGAGUUGUAGGAUUGAUCGGAUUGAAGACUGACUAGUCUAAACAAGGUAUCCAUUUAACCACAGACCCACAUCAAAAUAACCCUUGAAUGAGAACCCGGUAGGUGCUGGCACACAAGGAGAUGGGUGAUUGUGUUUUUAACAGCGAAUUUGGAAGGAGAAUGAUUAAAGCAGGAUCUUGAAGUUGGAUUUUAGCUGGCUGGGUUUUUACACAUAAUAUGAUGAGAGAGAGAGAGAGAGAGAGAGAGGGAGCAGGGAGGAAUCUAGGAGAGUAAAAUUUUGCUUUUCUUUUGCUGUAAUCGAUGAGGAAUGGAGUGGUGGGUUUAUGGUUUUGGAGCGGGGGGGUGGGGGUGGUGUCUUGUGGUAUUCUUUUUCUAGGUAUUCCUUUUGGCAAUUUAUGAGGGGAUUGACUGAUAUAGGUUUUUCUGUUAAAACAUGGAAGGUGGCCUGAACUAGCUUGUGUUUAGAAAUAGAAUACUGUCUGACAAAAGAUGCAAAGAGNNNNNNNNNNNNNNNNNNNNNNNNNNNNNNNNNNNNNNNNNNNNNNNNNNNNNNNNNNNNNGUGCUGGUGUUGGUGGUGGUGGGGGUGGUGGUGGUGGAAGGAUGGGUUUGUUGCUGAUAAGGAUAGUAGUGCUUGGAAGAAGAAGAAGAGAAGUCUUCUUCAUCCAUGAAAAAGUUGAAGCAUUCUUCGUCUUCUUGGUGGUGGUGGUGAUGGUUUUGUCUAGAAGAUCUAGAGCUGCUAGAAGUUCUACUGGAGUUGUAGGAUUGAUCGGAUUGAAGACUGACUAGUCUAAACAAGGUAUCCAUUUAACCACAGACCCACAUCAAAAUAACCCUUGAAUGAGAACCUGGUAGGUGCUGGCACACAAGGAGAUGGGUGAUUGUGUUUUUAACAGCGAAUUUGGAAGGAGAAUGAUUAAAGCAGGAUCUUGAAGUUGGAUUUUAGCUGGCUGGGUUUUUACACAUAAUAUGAUGAGAGAGAGAGAGAGAGAGGGAGCAGGGAGGAAUCUAGGAGAGUAAAAUUUUGCUUUUCUUUUGGUGUAAUCGAUGAGGAAUGGAGUGGUGGGUUUAUGGUUUUGGAGCGGGGGGGUGGGGGUGGUGUCUUGUGGUAUUCUUUUUCUAGGUAUUCCUUUUGGCAAUUUAUGAGGGGAUUGACUGAUAUAGGUUUUUCUGUUAAAACAUGGAAGGUGGCCUGAACUAGCUUGUGUUUAGAAAUAGAAUACUGUCUGACAAAAGAUGCAAAGAGUGAGAAAAGAUAACAGGGUCUAGAUCAUCAGAUGGGUUUUUAGUGGUGGAUUAGCUUUUCAAUUUUCAGGGAGAAGGAGCAGGGGUUUUU